CAAUCUGGAUUAUCUACAUCAAGUAAGAUAAUUGAAAUGAAUCCAUCAUCUCCCUCAUUCAAUGCAUAGGUGGAAUGAACGCUAGUGGCUUUUCAGAAAUAUAUCAAAAUGUCAGAAGAUGACGACAACUGUUAUGCAGUAAAUGAAGGACGAUAUCAUAAAUGUAACGAGUGUGCGCACCGAAAGAGAAACAUUUAUGAAAUCAUCCUGAACUCGUUAAAACUGUUGUCGCCUCGUUAGGGCGAAAGUACAAAUAAACCUGUUUAUUUGCACUUCCGCCUUCACCCGGAUCAGGAUUUUUUAUAAUUUUAAUCAUUGCCCCGUUCCAACAAUUAUGAUAAUAGUGGGACAAAAAGCAAUAUCAGUGACAGAAGACGAUAUCAGUUACCGAAAACGUUAUCAGUGACACAUAGUUAUCGUUUUUAUGCCAUCGCCAGUGGCGCCGCCAGUUCGAUAAUUGGCGGGGCGAAUAUUCAUAUCUUCGUGUUCUGCAUUAUUAACUUCUUUUGAAAUCGAUUGUUUUUGUGGUCUGUGCAUGAACACAAAUAUAUGAAUAUUCCCCCCCCCCCAAUUAUCGAGCUGGCGGCGCCACUGUUCAUCGCUCUGCUAAAGGCAAAAUAUAUGAGCGUCGACACGAUACCAGUUUUUUCGCAUCGAGAGACAUUUAUGAAAUCGUCCUGCAUGCAAUAAUGGUGAUAUUCCUGUGCCCGGAUUACGAUAACGGCUGUUUGUUUUAUAAUUGUUCCUUAUAUCUGGAUUUAUUAGAAUAUUGAUAAUUAACCCGAUCCAUCAAUGAUAGAUUAAAAUAGCGGGACAAGGAUCGAUUUCAGUGAGAUAUCGUCUUUAUGUCACCAUACUAAUUCAUUCGAUUAAAUCACUACUUAAAGUGAGCCGAAUUCAUUUCAUCCAGUCCAAGGACUUGAUCCAGUCGAAGUAUGAAUUAAUAUUGAUCUAAAAUCCUGGUCAAAAAUAUUGGUGCACUUGACACUGACUGUGCGAAAUUUGAAUCCCACAUCAAUAACAAGCAUAGCAACCCCCCUUCCCCCGUUCAAUGUUAUCAAAAAUAUUGCCGCACUUGACACUGACUGUGCGAAAUUUGACUCCCACAUCAAUAACAAGAAUAGUAACCCCCCCCCCCCCCAUCCUCCGUUCAGUGUUGUGUGUUGUGUGUUAUACGUCCAAUGUGUUACACAACAUUGACAAGGGGGAUAGGGGGUGUUUGGACAUGAAAUUUUGCAUAAACUGGGCAAGUAUGUAAAUGGUGGUCAGAAAUGAAGUAAAGGUUAUGCUACUUCGACUAAGUGCGCAAAGGAUUUUUGACCAGGAUUGUAGUCCAAAUCCAAGGAUGACUUUAUCGUCGUACGAAGCAGAUGUCCUUUACGGUGAAGGAGAUGAAAGACCUUUUAAGAAAGAAAUCAACGCCAAUCAACGUACGAUAUUCCACACGAAUUAUUAGCUCUAUUUGUGUUGGGUCUAGAUAUUCUGUCAAGUUUAUUUUCGACAAAUAGCCUGCGACGAAUUGCAUCGCGAACUGCACUCAAUGAACAAGAACCAUGAUUUGCAAAUCAAGAAUUUAAAGAAAGCUAGACCAGAACUAAAUUAGGAGAAACAACAUGCACAGCAAGUCGAAGAACUUGCACAACAUAUAAUUCGUGACUGUUCGGAAAUCGCUGGAAUUAAACCCACAAGGAAAGUCUCAUGCGAAGCAAUAGUGAAUUCAAUUGGCGAAAAAAUUGGUGUUCCCGUUACAGUUGACGACAUAUCAAUCGCGCAUCCAAUAACAUCGUAUAAUCAAUCUGCAGCACCCAAAUUAAUUGUAAAAUUCACGCGAAGACAAGAAAACGAAAUACGUUUUAUCAAGCCUGUAGGAAGCUUGUCUCUAAGAAAGCGAAAGAUCUUCAUCGACUUGGUCUCGAGUCCGAUUCGCGGGUAUAUAUUUCAGUUUGCCCGUCUAUAUGAAUUUAUACACACCAACUCGAAAACGUCUGCAGAAGUUGUAGGUCUAUAUAUUGCAACUGGCAUGAACUUUUUCCCAAGGUACGAUUUAGCAAUGUCGAUGCAUGGAGGGAGCCCUGUAUGUUUGAAAUUAUACGCAAACUACAGAAAAAAUAUAAUUCUGGGAUGUAUUUGAUGGGAGGUUAUAUGGAGGCGUUGAUUUGUGAAAUUUUGUAGUUAAAGGCUAGGGGCAUGCAAGAGCCGUUGGUUUAUGAAAUAUUGCAGUUAAAAGCAUACUCGCUUAUUCGUUUGAGAAUAUAACAGUUAGACCAGGACGAUAUCGAUCAGUUCAUUUGGAUGUUCAUAUAUUUGGUUCAGUGCAUGCUAUGUAGGUGGAAAUACCGCCGUUCGAUUCAAAAUGGUAAUUGAAUUGAGUGGAGUGCAAUUUGGACUGAAAUCAAACGCGUGAAUACAAAAUCGCACGAACGCGAUGCGGGAGUGCGAUUUGUAAUCACAAGUUUGAUUUCAGUCCAAAAUUGCACGACACAAAGUUCAAUUUCCACUUUAUUAUAUUCAUUUUGAAAUCUUAAAUAUUUUUGUAAACCGGAAACGUUUUUGUUUGCAAAAGGCACACCUUCGGUACCUCCCUGAGUGCUGUAGCAUAGCAACAGUAAACGAACAAGAUGAAACAUUUUGUAAGUUUUGUUUAUAAAUACGGUUCAAAUACUGCAAAAAUCUAAAAGAAAUGAAGACAUUUAUAAAGAAUAAGAGACAACACAAGUAAGUUUAAACAUAUUGUAGGUCUUACGAGUGAUUGAAAGAGUUCUGGUGCUGUUUUGUGCGUUUAAAAUUGGAAAUACGAUAGGUGAAUUUACCUUUGUUUUCCGGGCGUCCUGUCUGAGCUGACGCUUUAAAUUUGCUUUUGUUGGCAUUUUUGUCAGUUACUAAUGUGAAAUUUAAAAAAAAAAUUAAAAUUCUUUGCAAUUCUUUGAUAGUUUACUGUAGCUAUCCAUUUUUUUAUGUGCAAAAAAUUGCUUAGUAUUGCUUAGUAUUAAAAUUGUUGAGUAUUAAAUCGCGAAAUGUAAAUUUGUUGUUUUUGCUCGUUUGCCAUAUCACAUUUUUCUUAAAAUUCAUUGGCUGUUUGAAUCCUAUGAUUAAAUAUGAUUAGUUGGCUGAAGUCAGCCCUCUAAUGUGAUUGGUUGAAAGAAGGUGCGAUUUCAGCACGAAUCCCACUGCUAAGAGCGCGAUUCGUGCUGAAAUCGCAUUUCUGUGAACCAAUCAGAUUGCAGGAAACACCAUUGAUUUCAAAAUGAAUAUAAUAAAGUGAAACAAUUCCUAACGAUGGGUUUAGUAAAAUUUCAUCAUUAUAGCGCUUUAGGAUCUUUAGAGGUCAAGCGAUACCAUUUUCACACGAUUUUCCCGAACAAUGUAAACAAUGUAAUAACAUGCAAGGCAUACCUUUCGCCGAACAUAACUUUCAACAUAUUUUGUUCGAAUCACAAUCCAAGACACUAUUUAGAUUGUUAUUUUCAAGCUUGUAUCUGCAGCUUGCAUCUUUAUUUCAGUAUUUCAGAAUAUCUAAAUUUUUAGCGAGUGCUUCGACCAGAAAUACAAAUUGAUUGUAGAAACAAUGCGAUGUUUAAUUUCCAGCACUCGGUAGACGUCGGCAACCACACGGAAACUGAUUCUAAAGGUCAAAUUACCCCAGUAGCGUCGCCGAAGUUAUGGUCUGCGAAAGAUAUGGCCAAUCUAUAUUUUUGAUGAGUAAUUUGAUCAUAUACAAUCUUGCUUGACUUCCAGAGGCCAUAAAUCGCUACAAUGUUAAUAAUGACAAAAACUAUUGUAAUUAGGAAUCAGUUAAUUUAAUAUAUUCUGGUUUGUUUUUAAAAAUUUUGCUGUAUAUUAUGGCUAGUUUAUACGGUAUUUGGCGUCAUACGAUAAAGAAUGAAGAUUAAGAAAUAUGUUAUGGUUCAAUGGUUGAAAAAUCAACGCAGGUGGCCUCGAUUGCAAACAAGCAAUUAAUUCAUUAUUCCUAACGAACUGAUUUGCUAUACGCUAUAAUAAUUGCCAUACCAAACUCUACAGCCCUGCUUCGAAUAGAUCUCUGUCUGUGGGAAAUUAAAUACUUUAUUAUAUGCAAACCUGGAUUAACUACUUUGAACAAACGUAAUGAAUUAGUUUCUUAAUUAAUGCAGGAAUGCGAAAAAAUUUCUUUCAACUUACAUUUAAAGGGCAUGCACUCGUGACAGACACAUUUUUGUUUAAAUGUACCGCGCAAUAUUAAUAGCUUGGUGUUAUGAUAUGCAUUGUUAAUACUUCCGCGUCCUGUCAAUUUAUCAAAAGACAAAAUAAUUAUAUUGCUUUGCUUGGUUUGUAAAUAGGAUCAAUUUAAACUUCCAUCCACUUGUACAUAAAUACUGUGUUGUUUUUUUUGCUGUAGUCAUAAGGCUAAUUUAUAUGAUGAGUGCCACAUCUCUGAGUAAAAAAACUUAAACGUUAGACUGAUAAUAUCAAACCGUAAUCGUCCCAAAAAAGUUAUGGCAAAGCAGAAAAAUUUUGAUAGUGGAAAUCGUCGCGUUUGUCGCGAGUUAAAAACUGCAAUUAUUUAGAACAUUCCUAUACGCAUAUUAAUAAUAAGUAAUUUGACUAUUUCUAGACAGAAUUUGAUGAAAACAAGAACUCGUGAGUUUUUGGAACACCUCAAGUGGCACUUAUGCUAUUUUGAUGCCAUUUCAAAAACUCAUUCGUGCACGUUUUAUCCAAAUUAAAUUGGAUUCGAAAUCAUCCUAAUAGUUAUAUUAAUAGUUUACUCUGCACACAUGCACUUGGUCGUGGUUUACAUUUAUGUUAGCUUCCACCUUAUGGAAUGUAUAAAUGUUUGUAAUUUUUUUAUAGCGUCGCAGAACAACACUGAACCCACCCAAAUCGCACUCAAUUCAACAACCGGCGUCCAACUCGAAGAAAUUAUGUCAGAAGAGGUGCCAUUGAAAGUUCGUAAAUAUUUCCCAGAGACUUGGCUUUGGACAGAUUUAAAGUUUAAGUAAGUGCUGCAGUUACUGUUGAUUUUUAGUAUUUUUGCACAAGUGAACAUAAAAAAUCCUACAAAUUGAUUGGUCAAAUUUGACGUAUUAAGCUGUUAUAUUCACCUACAGGUGAAUAUAACAGAACCGAAAUUUUCAAAAUGGCGGCUAGCCGUUGUGUGGCCAUUAUACUGAUAAAGAAAUAAGCG